rnacentral:rRNA from 1 species
AUCAACUUUCGAUGGUAGGGAUAGAGGCCUACCAUGGUGGUAACGAGUAACGGGGUGUUAGGGCACGACACCGGAGAGGGAGCNUGAGAAACGGCUACCACAUCCAAGGAUGGCAGCAGGCGCGCAAAUUACCCAAUCCCGACACGGGGAGGUAGUGACAAUAAAUAACAAUACGGGGUUCUUUCGGAUCUCGUAAUUGGAAUGAGUACAAUUUAAAUCUCUUAACGAGGAACAAUUGGAGGGCAAGUCUGGUGCCAGCAGCCGCGGUAAUUCCAGCUCCAAUAGCGUAUAUUAAAGUUGUUGCAGUUAAAAAGCUCGUAGUUGAAUUUCGGGAUUAGUAGGUUGGUCAUGCCUCUGGUAUGUACUGGUCUCACUGAUUCCUCCUUCCUUAUGAACCGUAAUGCCAUUAAUUUGGUGUUGCGGGGAAUUUGGACCGUUACUUUGAAAAAAUUAGAGUGUUUAAAGCAGGCUAACGCUUGAAUACAUUAGCAUGGAAUAAUGAAAUAGGACGUUCGAUCUUAUUUUGUUGGUUUCUAGGAUUGACGUAAUGAUUAAUAGGGAUAGUUGGGGGCAUUAGUAUUCAAUUGUCAGAGGUGAAAUUCUUGGAUUUAUUGAAGACUAACUACUGCGAAAGCAUUUGCCAAGGAUGUUUUCAUUAAUCAAGAACGAAAGUUAGGGGAUCGAAGACGAUCAGAUACCGUCGUAGUCUUAACCAUAAACUAUGCCGACUAGGGAUCGGAUGAUGUUAAUUUUUUAAUGACUCAUUCGGCGCCUUACGGGAAACCAAAGUGUUUGGGUUC